rnacentral:rRNA from 1 species
UACGUAGGGUGCGAGCGUUGCCCGGAUUUACUGGGCGUAAAGGGCGCGUAGGCGGCUUAACAAGUCACUUGUGAAAUCUCCGGGCUUAACUCGGAACGGCCAAGUGAAACUGUCAAGCUAGAGUGCAGAAGGGGCAAUCGGAAUUCUUGGUGUAGCGGUGAAAUGCGUAGAUAUCAAGAGGAACACCUGAGGUGAAGACGGGUUGCUGGGCUGACACUGACGCUGAGGCGCGAAAGCCAGGGAGCAAACGGG